CUGUUUCCCCAUAUCGAUUUUGGAUUAAUUUUUUUGCUCUACAAGGUGGACCCAUCUUCUUUCUAUGUCCCAGGUUCAUUAUCAAAACGCUCAGUUUUCUUAAGAAAAAGAAUGAUGAGGAAAAAUACUAAUUAUUAUAUACUAGUGGAUGAUUACUCUCACAUUUAAUUAUAAUGUGGGAUUGUUUUGUCAUUUGCACAGGUCAAUGUGAUUUAUUUAAUUUAAGACAAUGUGAUCAAAAGUUGAUUUAAAAAUCGUUAUAGCUGGCCAGGCAUGGUGGCUCAUUCCUGUAAUCCCAGCACUUUGGGAGGCCCAGGCAGGCAGAUCACCUGAGGUCAGGAGUUUGAGACCAGCCUGGCCAACAUAGUCAAACCCUGCCUUUACUAAAAAUACAAAAAUUAGUGCUCGCUUCGGCAGCUCAUAUACUAAAAUUGGAAAGAUACAGAGAUUACCAUGGCCCCUGAGCAAGGAUGACAUAAAAAUUUUUGAAGCAUUCCAUAUUGUAAUUAAAAUUUUUUUAUAAAAAAAGAAAAAAAAUACAAAAAUUAGCCUGGUGUGGUGGCACAUGCUUGUAAUCCCAGCUAUUCCAAAGGCUGAGGCAGGAGAAUCGCUUGAACCUGGGGGGCAGAGGUUGCAGUGAGCCAAGAUCACACCAUUGCACUCCACAUUCCAGCCUGGGCAACAGAGCAGACCGUGUCUCUAAAAAGAAAAAAGGGCUGGGUGUGGUGGCUCACGUCUAUGACCUCAGCACUUUGAGAAGCCAGCGUGGGAGGACUGCUUGAGCCCAGGAGUUUGAGAUCAGCCUGGGCAACAGAGUGAGACCCCAUCUCUACAAAAAAUUAAAAAUCAGCCAUGCGUGAUGGCACACUCCUGGAAUCCUAGCUACCUGGGAGACUGAAGUAGGAAGAUGACUUGAGCCCAGGAGGUUGAGGCUGUAUAAUCACACGACUGCUCCAGCCUGAGCAGCAGAGCAAGACCCUGUCUCCGAGGAAAAAAGUGGUAAUAAAAAGAAAAAAGAAAAUAAAAACAAAUGCCAGACAUUUGGAAAGAAUGCUGAACUGUCUAAGUGGCUAAUUGCCCAACAGUAGAUUCUCAGACUUUCAGGGCUCGUAAAAUGUUCCUGAUCUGCCCAACUAAAUUUUAGCUGGUUUAAUACUUAGGUCCUUUUUAUGUAGUUUGGUACCAACAUGUAACUAGGCUACAAAUGGAGGUCUAAUCAAUACAGACC
rnacentral:lncRNA from 1 species